UACGAAGGGGGCUAGCGUUGCUCGGAAUUACUGGGCGUAAAGGGUGCGUAGGCGGGUCUUUAAGUCAGAGGUGAAAUCCUGGAGCUCAACUCCAGAACUGCCUCCGAUACUGAGAGUCUUCGAGUCCGGGAGAGGUGAGUGGAACUGCGAGUGUAGAGGUGAAAUUCGUAGAUAUUCGCAAGAACACCAGUGGCGAAGGCGGCUCACUGGCCCGGUACUGACGCUGAGGUGCGAAAGCGCGGGGAGCAAACAGG
rnacentral:rRNA from 1 species